rnacentral:rRNA from 8 species
AGACCCGAAACCCGGUGAUCUAGCCAUGGGCAGGUUGAAGGUUGGGUAACACUAACUGGAGGACCGAACCGACUAAUGUUGAAAAAUUAGCGGAUGACCUGUGGCUGGGGGUGAAAGGCCAAUCAAACCGGGAGAUAGCUGGUUCUCCCCGAAAGCUAUUUAGGUAGCGCCUCGUGAAUUCAUCUCCGGGGGUAGAGCACUGUUUCGGCUAGGGGGCCAUCCCGGCUUACCAACCCGAUGCAAACUGCGAAUACCGGAGAAUGUUAUCACGGGAGACACACGGCGGGUGCUAACGUCCGUCGUGAAGAGGGAAACAACCCAGACCGCCAGCUAAGGUCCCAAAGUCAUGGUUAAGUGGGAAACGAUGUGGGAAGGCCCAGACAGCCAGGAUGUUGGCUUAGAAGCAGCCAUCAUUUAAAGAAAGCGUAAUAGCUCACUGGUCGAGUCGGCCUGCGCGGAAGAUGUAACGGGGCUAAACCAUGCACCGAAGCUGCGGCAGCGAACGUAUCACUUAAAGCGAUUCAGCGGGUUACGAUUGACGGAGCGAAGCGACGUCAAAGCGUAUACAAAGUCGAGUCGGUUUAAGGAUACGUUCGUUGGGUAGGGGAGCGUUCUGUAAGCCUGUGAAGGUGUGUCGUGAGGC